rnacentral:rRNA from 1 species
CGAACGCUGGCGGCGUGCUUAACACAUGCAAGUCGAACGCGAAAGGGACUUCGGGUCCUGAGUAAAGUGGCGCACGGGUGAGUAACGCGUAGAUAACCUGUCUUCAUGUCUGGAAUAAUACGCCGAAAGGGGUACUAAUACCGGAUAUUCUUGCUUUUCAUAAGUUAUGCAAGCAAAGGUGGCCUCUGCAUAUGCUACUGCAUGAAGAGGGGUCUGCGUACCAUUAGCUAGUAGGUGGGGUAAUGGCCUACCUAGGCGACGAUGGUUAGCGGGUCUGAGAGGAUGAUCCGCCACACUGGCACUGGAACACGGGCCAGACUCCUACGGGAGGCAGCAGUGAGGAAUAUUGCGCAAUGGGGGAAACCCUGACGCAGCGACGCCGCGUGAGUGAGGAAGGCCUUCGGGUCGUAAAGCUCUGUCAAGAGGAAAGAAGUGUACAAUGGCUAAUACCUGUUGUAUUUGACGGUACCUCUAAAGGAAGCACCGGCUAACUCCGUGCCAGCAGCUGC